GAUGAACGCUGGCGGCGUGCCUAAUACAUGCAAGUCGAGCGAACGAACGAGAAGCUUGCUUCUCUGAUGCUAGCGGCGGACGGGUGAGUAACACGUGGAUAACCUACCUAUAAGACUGGGAUAACUUCGGGAAACCGGAGCUAAUACCGGAUAAUAUUUUGAACCGCAUGGUUCAAAAGUGAAAGACGGUCUUGCUGUCACUUAUAGAUGGAUCCGCGCUGCAUUAGCUAGUUGGUAAGGUAACGGCUUACCAAGGCAACGAUGCAUAGCCGACCUGAGAGGGUGAUCGGCCACACUGGAACUGAGACACGGUCCAGACUCCUACGGGAGGCAGCAGUAGGGAAUCUUCCGCAAUGGGCGAAAGCCUGACGGAGCAACGCCGCGUGAGUGAUGAAGGUCUUCGGAUCGUAAAACUCUGUUAUUAGGGAAGAACAUAUGUGUAAGUAACUGUGCACAUCUUGACGGUACCUAAUCAGAAAGCCACGGCUAACUACGUG
rnacentral:rRNA from 1 species